GUGGGGAAUUUUGGACAAUGGGCGCAAGCCUGAUCCAGCCAUGCCGCGUGCAGGAUGAAGGCCUUCGGGUUGUAAACUGCUUUUGUACGGAACGAAAAGACUCUGGUUAAUACCUGGGGUCCAUGACGGUACCGUAAGAAUAAGCACCGGCUAACUACGUGCCAGCAGCCGCGGUAAUACGUAGGGUGCGAGCGUUAAUCGGAAUUACUGGGCGUAAAGCGUGCGCAGGCGGUUAUGUAAGACAGAUGUGAAAUCCCCGGGCUCAACCUGGGAACUGCAUUUGUGACUGCAUAGCUAGAGUACGGCAGAGGGGGAUGGAAUUCCGCGUGUAGCAGUGAAAUGCGUAGAUGUGCGGAGGAACACCGAUGGCGAAGGCAAUCCCCUGGGCCUGUACUGACGCUCAUGCACGAAAGCGUGGGGAGCAAACAGGAUUAGAAACCCUGGUAGUCC
rnacentral:rRNA from 1 species